rnacentral:rRNA from 1 species
GGAUUAGAUACCCUGGUAGUCCACGCCGUAAACGAUGGAUACUCGGUGUUCGGUCGCUUAAGAUUGAGUGCCUAAGGGAAACCGAUAAGUAUCCCACCUGGGGAGUACGUCCGCAAGGAUGAAACUCAAAGGAAUUGACGGGGGCCCGCACAAGCGGUGGAGCAUGUGGUUUAAUUCGAUGAUACGCGAGGAACCUUACCUGGGCUAUAAUGCCUCUGACCACCCCUGAAAGGGGGCUUUCCUUCGGGACAGAGUGCAAGGUGCUGCAUGGUUGUCGUCAGCUCGUGCCG